AUUGAACGCUGGCGGGAGGCCUAACACAUGCAAGUCGAGCGGAGCGGCGGACGGGUGAGUAAUGCCCCGGAAUCUGACUGGUAGUGGGGGAUAACGUCCGGACACGGGCGCUAAUACCGCAUACUAUCAGAUGAGCGUAGGUCGGAUUAGCUAGUUGGUGGGGUAAAGGCCUACAAAGGCGACGAUUCGUAACUGGUCUGAGAGGAUGAUCAGUCACACGGGAACUGAGACACGGUCCAGCCUCCUACGGGAGGCAGCAGUGGGGAAUAUUGGACAAUGGGCGAUAGCCUGAUCCAGCCAUGCCGAGUGUGUGAAGAAGGGCUUCGGAUUGUAAAGCACUUUAAGUUGGGAGGCGUUACCAACAGAAUAAGCACCGGCUAACUUCGUGCCAGCAGCCGCGGUAAUUC
rnacentral:rRNA from 1 species